UACGAAGGGUGCAAACGUUGCUCGGAAUUAUUGGGCGUAAAGCGCACGUAGGCGGCUUUGCAAGUCCCAUGUGAAAUCCCACGGCUCAACCGUGGAAGUGCAUGGGAAACUGCAGAGCUUGAGUACUUAAGAGGAUCGCGGAAUUCCCGGUGUAGGGGUGAAAUUCGUAGAUAUCGGGAGGAACACCAGUGGCGAAGGCGGCGAUCUGGGAAGAUACUGACGCUGAGGUGCGAAAGCGUGGGGAGCAAACAGG
rnacentral:rRNA from 1 species